CAAGCCAGUGACGUCAUUAUUUAACGUACGCAGUGACUGUAUAUUUUGGUAAAUACAUGCUAUUUUGAUAUGUUUAGUGUUUGUUUGAUAGAAAAAUAUUUAUUAAGGGAAGGGAAGCAGAACUAUUCAGAUGUUUCAAACUUAAUUGUAAUCAAUAGGCCGUUCCAAGAUGCUGUCAAAAUUAAAUCAAUAUGGCUACCGGAAGGCAAACAUUGAAUAUUAUUCUAUCAGGUUCUUAUGGUUUUAGAUCAUUUUAGUUGUUGUACAAAGAUUAAUUUAACAUUUUCUCUGGAAGUAUUAAUUUAGAAAGAUAAUAUGCCUCAUUGGUGUUGUGUUUUGAAGUGUGAAAUGCAAAGUAAUCGUGAUAAAGUUAGCUUUUACCACUUACCAUCAGUGCUACAUUCUAAGCACAAAACUGAACCAAUUUAACUAAAUAAGUUAUAGUUAUCAUCUGAGAGACAACAACAAUGGUAAAAUGCAAUAAAAUAUUAAGAUUUUACUAGCAAAAUGGAAAUUCCCCUGUAAUCAUCUUAUAUCUGGUAAGUUACAACAUUUGAACAUUAACCAUUUUUGAAGAUGUUAACAGUCUAAUCUUGUAGGAAAACCAGCCGACUUAACUGAUAAUAACAAUCCAGAUUGGGUUCCUUCAAUAAAUAUGGGGUAUAUAAACACAAUGAAAUGAGUUCCCCAAAAUCUAAAAUGGGAAUUAAGGUACCAAAGGAGAAUAAAAGGAAAAGGGUACCUACAAGAAAAAAUUGCUUUUUUAUUCCUCUUGAAAUGAUUUAUAAGACACUGGACUGUCUUAUAUUCUACAAAUACUAGAAUCAGCUGAGAGAAGUGGUCUACAAAAACCCAGGAAGGAAACGGAAUAUGUGGCUACGAAAGGCAAAAGAAAGGUUUACAAAGCAAAUGUGACACAUUUUUUUGAAAUAUUUAGGAAUAUCAGUAAAUUGCAUUAAAAAAAUGUAUGAAAAGAUUUUGUUCAAUAAAAAUGUUUAUAUUUA